CAGUAGCCACGGGAAUACGAAGGGGGCUAGCGUUGCUCGGAAUGACUGGGCGUAAAGGGCGCGUAGGCGGAUGGCUUUGUCAGAUGUGAAAUUCCAGGGCUUAACCUUGGGGCUGCAUUUGAGACGGGUUGUCUAGAGUGGAGAAGAGGGUCGUGGAAUUCCCAGUGUAGAGGUGAAAUUCGUAGAUAUUGGGAAGAACACCGGUGGCGAAGGCGGCGACCUGGUCUUUUACUGACGCUGAGGCGCGAAAGCGUGGGGAGCAAACAGGAUUAGAUACCCCCGUAGUCCCUGUCUCUUAUAC
rnacentral:rRNA from 1 species